AGAGUUUGAUCAUGGCUCAGGACGAACGCUGGCGGUGUGCUUAAGACAUGCAAGUCGUGCGGACCGUAGCAAUACGGUCAGCGGCGGACGGGUGAGUAACACGUGGAUAACCUGCCUGACUCCCCGGGAUAACAGGCCGAAAGGCCUGCUAAUACCGGGUAAGCUCACGGGGCCGCAUGGUCCUGGGAGAAAAGCUCCUGCAAGGGAGUGGGGUCAGAGGGGUCCGCGGCCCAUUAGCUAGUUGGGGGGGUAACGGCCCACCAAGGCGACGAUGGGUAGCCGGCCUGAGAGGGCGACCGGCCACACUGGGACUGAGACACGGCCCAGACUCCUACGGGAGGCAGCAGUCGGGAAUUUUGGGCAAUGGCCGAAAGGGCUGACCCAGCAACACCGCGUGAGUGAAGAAGGCCUUCGGGUUGUAAAGCUCUGUUGCCCGUGAAGAACGGUACUAUCAGGAAAUGGGUAGUACUUGACGGUAGCGGGUGAGGAAGCUCCGGCUAACUACGUGCCAGCAGCCGCGGUAAUACGUAGGGAGCGAGCGUUGUCCGGAUUUAUUGGGCGUAAAGGGCGUGUAGGCGGCUUUUUAAGUCUGAAGUGAAACGCCAGGGCUCAACCCUGGAACUGCUUCGGAUACUGGGAAGCUUGAGUACUCUAGAGGGCAGUGGAAUUCCGGGUGUAGCAGUGAAAUGCGUAGAGAUCCGGAGGAACACCAGUGGCGAAGGCGACUGCCUGGGGAGAAACUGACGCUGAGGCGCGAAAGCUGGGGGAGCAAACGGGAUUAGAUACCCCGGUAGUCCCAGCCGUAAACGAUGAGUGCUAGGUGUAGGGGGUAUCGACCCCCCCUGUGCCGGAGUUAACGCAAUAAGCACUCCGCCUGGGGAGUACGGCCGCAAGGUUGAACUCAAUGAAUUGACGG
rnacentral:rRNA from 1 species